GGAGUUUGGACCGUGUCUCAGUUCCAAUGUGGGGGACCUUCCUCUCAGAACCCCUACUGAUCGUCGCCUUGGUGGGCCGUUACCCCGCCAACAAGCUAAUCAGACGCAUCCCCAUCCAUUACCGUUGAAAACUUUGGUCUCGCUUAGAUGUCUGCACGAGACCGCAUCAGGGAUUAAUCCAGUUUUCACUGGGCUAUACCUGAGUAAUGGGCAGGUUGGAUACGCGUUACUCACCCGUGCGCCGGUCGCCAGCACAGUAUUGCUACCGCCUGCUGCCCCUCGACUUGCAUGUGUUAAGCCUGUAGCUAGCGUUCAUC
rnacentral:rRNA from 1 species